GAUAGCAGCUGUCAGCAGUGCAGGAGGCUGGCUAUUAAGGGGAAACAAAAGUGUCAUUAGGAGUCCUGCUGUCACCGUGGGUUGAGUCUGCCUGCUGAGCCCUGAGGGUGGAGGCCUGGCAGUGGGGACCCCUAAGG
rfam:Oryctolagus cuniculus cont2.13343, whole genome shotgun sequence.